rnacentral:rRNA from 1 species
GACGUAGGGCGCGAGCGUUGUCCGGAUUUAUUGGGCGUAAAGAGCUCGUAGGCGGCUUGUCGCGUCGAAUGUGAAAACUUGGGGCUCAACUCCAAGCUUGCAUUCGAUACGGGCAGGCUAGAGUUCGGUAGGGGAGACUGGAAUUCCUGGUGUAGCGGUGAAAUGCGCAGAUAUCAGGAGGAACACCGGUGGCGAAGGCGGGUCUCUGGCCCGAUACUGACGCUGAGGCACGAAAGCGUGGGGAGCAAACAGG